UAUUUUUAAAAUUUUGAAACACAUAUUAGAUAUUAUUCUAAAAAAUUUGAAUUAAAAAAUGAUCACUUUAAGAUAAACAUUGUUACUCAUUUACUUAUUUUGCAUUUACUAGAAUAAGGCUUCGUUUGGGAUUGCGGGGUACGUAAUAUUGCGUUCCACAUAUCGCGAUGAGUCGGUUACGAUAUAUUUCCUGCGGUCCCACCGGAGAACUCAACGGUAUAUUUCCUGCGGUCCCACCGGAGAACGCAGAAGCAUUUCUCUAUAUGUUUUUUUCUCAACUCCAUUUUAUCUAAUAGCGUUAGAUAGACCUCAAUACCAAACUAAGCCUAAGUCUGCGUGCAAUGCACAUGUUACAUUAUUUUAAAUUUUCAAAUAUUAUUUAUAAAUUUUAAUAAAUCAAUUAAUUUUAUAUAAGCGAACACAUCUUAGUUUGGUAGAAAGUGGUAAGAAUUAUAGUUGGCAUAUUUAAAGUUUGUUUUUAUUUUUUAAAAAAUUAAUUAAUUUAAAAUUUUUAAAUUGGAUCAGUAAAAU
rnacentral:lncRNA from 1 species